rnacentral:piRNA from 1 species
UAGACAGAAGCGGAAUGGUGGUUGCCAGG